GUAGGAGCUGGCUUGCCGGCGAAGGCGUCUUCAAGGUUGCAGCAGGACCUUAUGAACCACUCGCCGGCAAGCCGGCUCCUAC
rnacentral:misc_RNA from 1 species